rnacentral:rRNA from 1 species
AACGAACGCUGGCGGCAGGCUUAACACAUGCAAGUCGAACGCCCCGCAAGGGGAGUGGCAGACGGGUGAGUAACGCGUGGGAACAUACCCUUUCCUGCGGAAUAGCUCCGGGAAACUGGAAUUAAUACCGCAUACGCCCUACGGGGGAAAGAUUUAUCGGGGAAGGAUUGGCCCGCGUUGGAUUAGCUAGUUGGUGGGGUAAAGGCCUACCAAGGCGACGAUCCAUAGCUGGUCUGAGAGGAUGAUCAGCCACAUUGGGACUGAGACACGGCCCAAACUCAGAGGGGAGGAAGAAGGGGGGAAUUGGGAACAAGGGGCGAAAGCUGAACCAACCAUGGCGGGGGGAGGGAGAAGGGCCUAGGGGUGGAAAAGCUUUUUAACGAAUGAAGAAAAGAAGGGUGGUGGGAAAAGAACCCCCGGCAAACUUGGUC